rnacentral:rRNA from 1 species
UACGUAGGGUGCAAGCGUUGUCCGGAAUUAUUGGGCGUAAAGAGCUCGUAGGCGGUUUGUCGCGUCUGCUGUGAAAACGCGAGGCUCAACCUCGCGCCUGCAGUGGGUACGGGCAGACUAGAGUGCGGUAGGGGAGAUUGGAAUUCCUGGUGUAGCGGUGGAAUGCGCAGAUAUCAGGAGGAACACCGAUGGCGAAGGCAGAUCUCUGGGCCUGUACUGACGCUGAUGCGCGAAAGCGUGGGGAGCAAACGGG